rnacentral:rRNA from 1 species
UGCCUAACACAUGCAAGUCGAGCGGGACGAUACGACGGAGUCAAAGUUUCGGAUGGAGACGAAGAUGUAUGUUCUAGCGGCGGACGGGUGAGUAACGCGUGAGCAACCUGUCCCUUACAGGGGAGUAACACAGCGAAAGUUGUACUAAUACCGCAUGAGACCACGGGUAGACAUCUACCAGGGGUCAAAGGAGCAAUCCGGGUAAGGGGUGGGCUCGCGUCCGAUUAGAUAGUUGGUGAGGUAACGGCCCACCAAGUCGACGAUCGGUAGCCGACCUGAGAGGGUGAUCGGCCACAUUGGGACUGAGACACGGCCCAAACUCCUACGGGAGGCAGCAGUGGGGAAUAUUGGGCAAUGGGGGAAACCCUUGACCCAGCAACGCCGCGUGAGGGAAGAAGGUUUUCGGAUCGUAAACCUCUGUCCUUGGUGAAGAGUGAGAGACGGUAGCCAAGGAGGAAGCCCCGGCUAACUACGUGCCAGCAGCCGC